rnacentral:lncRNA from 1 species
AUUUAUUUGCAUGCAUGUGUGUGCUCAAAAUAAAAUUAAUUUAUUUAAAUACAAUUAAACUACAUUCUCAUAAUAUAGAUUAUCAUACUAUAUAUUCUUCCAAUUCUCAUAUAUUCUUAUUACUGAAAAUGUUACUGCUCUUCAUAAUUAUAUUAAAAGACGUUAAACGCGUACAAUCUCGCAACGAUCAAAUUUAAUAUUUUCCAAAUAAAAAAGUUAGUUCUUGCAAUUUUAACUUUAUUUUCGCUAUAAUAAUUUGCAAUAAUCCAAACGAUAGCCUUGCCUUGAAAAUAAAAUCAGGCGAUUAAUGGCCGACAUAGAAUUGCAAUUUGAUGGUUCGCGCUUGAACGUGCGCCGUUAUCGAUCGGCGACGCGCAUCGACGUUAAUCAUCGCCAUGAUCUAAAGCUAAUUCCCUGGCGUUUAUUAGCCGGCCGUCCGCGUUUUACAGGUCGCCCGCCGAAGCAUCGCGCGACUGGUUCGUUUAAUCCGACGUGUCGUUAUUUAUCAGCACACAUCCGCCGGCCGCAUAUCAUUACACGGAGCAGGAUCGGAUACGCGUUCGCGUAUCCCCUCGUAAGUAUGAUUGAGUAAACAGCCGGGCGACUUUUCAGCACGGCCCGCCAUUCCAGUUCGCCUUGGAUCCGUCGCGGAGUUUCUUAACUUCCGCGGACCUAGCGAAUCGCGCGUGUUCGCCGGUUAUUUAUUAUUCGUUUUCUGUUUAAUCCGGUUGCGAGAGGGAGUUGCAGAAACGUCGCACACGACACUCACCGUCAAUGCGACUGCGGUACCUCGUUAAUCGCCGCGACUUAGAACUGUUGCAAUUCUCCCCAAUUUAGAUUACUUCAGCAAAGUAUUGAUAAGCCUUAACAAUCGGUUUGAUCUUCCAUUGAUUUAUGAUGUUGCCACAUGUAUUAAUGUAAGAGAAUUAAUCAAGAAUAUAAACUGCUCCUAUGUGCAAAGGAAUUAAUAAAGUAAAAUAGGCCAUGCAUAUAACGAGCAUUUUCAACACACAUUAUUUUAUUUUUUACAAAAAAUUUUUUAUGCAGUGUUGACAGUACGUUUCGCUCUACUUGGCCUUUAUCGGCUGUCAUAAUAUUAUUUCAUAUUAAAUCUAUCUACAGAAAUAUGUUACACAAGAGAAGUUGUUAAUAAUUAGAAACAUAAUGUUCAACAUUAAGAUAUAAUUCAAAUAAAUAAAAAAUGUGUGACGAUAAUAGUUUUAGAGGCAACUCAUUUCAUAAAAUCAUCUUGAAUAAAUUCUUUGAUAACAAAGUUUCAUUUUCACGUAACUCAACAAACUCACGAAACACCUUAGCAAUUGCGUUCAAUAUUAAUGCUACUUGUGAACAUCUAAAUUGGGAAUUGUUUCUAAGGAAUACUUUAAUAUCUAGGGUUCCUUGACCCCCUCGAGUAUAGUAAGAAAUCUACCGUGGCAACUGUUUCUUUUCCAUGGAAGAGCUAUUUGUAAUGCACGAUGGCGAAGAGCAUACGCCAUGGCAUUUCAAUCGUGCAUGUCGGCUGCAAGCACAGCUCGCGAAUGUACCUAUUGCGGACGCAGCGCUUCUUAUUAUUUCCUUGUUGCUGUUAUUCGAUAUCAUCGAUAUUUUGCAUACGCCGCAAUGUGGAAAGAUACUAUUGGCUGUUAUCGUCGUGUUUCUCUGUAAAUUCACGCGGUUAGAGAGCCAGAGAGAGAGAUCCACGUAAAGAGGAAGCGCGCAAGAAAUUUUUGAAGUCAGCGAUAUCUCGACGAUCUCCUUCCGCGGCGUCGUCUCGAGAAGCGUUCCCACCCUCCCGAUGGAAUUAAUCUUGUCGGCCGUAGAGAAAAAGAGAAAGAGAGAGAGAGAGAGAGAGAGAGAGACGCGCGGACGAGAAACCGAUUAAACUGAGGCUUGAAAUUGACCGUUGUUGCUUCCAUCUUCCGCAUUAGCAUCACUUUUACCCGUAUGAACGGUAUAAAGUGAACCGCGGUUCACCGACGCGAUUGCAGAUCUAACGGGUCGCACGCCACGCCGCGCCGCGCCGCGCCGCCGCGGUACGACGCGUCGCGGCGCGACGCGGCGCGGGGUUUUUCGCCGAUUGCUUUUACGACUCACUUGAUGUAACGGUCACCCGCAGCGGACUUUGUAAGUAGUCAGUUGUUAGCCGGCAAUUUUCAACAGCAGGCGCUUGUCAUUAAACGUCAGCGUCACUCUUAACCACUUGAGGCCAUCACGCUUAAAGCGAAUCGGCCAAUCGCGGCCCGUAAAUAUGAUCGUCGUCCUGGCCGGAGGUCUAAACGCGCGAGUUGCGCGCGGCUAAUUCUCUAAUGCGGCGAGCGUACGCCGCAUCGUCUCGGCCGCAGUUUAUGCACGUGUGCAGGCAUUCUUAAUAAACGGAGACCGCUUUAUCGCUCGAAAUCCUCGCGCCGAUUGUGAGACAUUACGCCCGGCGAUCAAGCUGCUUGCGUUUACACGCGCGGGCAAACGCUAUUCGACAUCCUCAUCUUAUACGCGGCCUGUCGCCGGCGGGGAUUAGAUUGGUAGCCAGCCGCUCGAGGAUGCAAGGAUAGCUGCUUCCUGGGUUUCCUCCGCGCGUGAAUGAUUUCGUACGCCUAACGUCUCGUCACUGUGCAUUUACAUUUACUGUAAAUUAUAUGUUACGUGCACUAAUAACAAGCUGUAAACUGCCCUGUAAUGAAACACACUGUAAAUCAGAUUUAUGUGCACUUGUACUGUUAGAAGAGAUAAAAGACGCUCGUGAGCAUUUUACGUUUUACAUUAUAUUUAUUUAUUUAUUUUACUUUGUAAGAUAAUUAAGGAAUAAGUGACUAUAAUCUGUGAAAUGGAUGACUGUAAUAAAAGAUUUUUUUAAUUCUCCAAAA